AAUCAUCUUUUCUCUCUCACACACAAACACCAAGAACACACACUCCCUCCAUUAAAGCUUCUUCAAGCUUUUGAGCUCCGAUUUGAGCACCGAGACGAGCGCCGAUCAUCUUUUUGAUCACGUUUUUACGUAGGUUGAGCUGAUGUGAUGAUGGUGCUGCAAUGAGCGGAGUCUCCAGGGUUGUUAAUAAAUAGUUAACCUGUCUAGAAUAUGUCUUCAUACAUAUGUCUAGCUACUUUCCGCUGCAAGAUGUUGUUGAUGUUAUAGUAUGUUAUGUCAUACUUUGAGUUUUAAGAGAAUGGUUGCAUAUGAUGUAUAACUUGAUUAAUGAUAUUAAUUAACUUUUAUGCAGUCUUUCAUAGACUGUUUUCAAUUGAGUAUUAAUGAAUAAAAAUGACGAGUUUUAUUAA